rnacentral:lncRNA from 1 species
AAAAAUUUAGGUUUCCUUAGGCUACAUUAUUCUCAUCUCACUGCUCCCACUUUGCAUCAAUAUCUCAUUCCUUCCUCAAAUCUGAUAAGUCAGGAGAAGUUGGAACUCAUUUUGGAAAAUGCAGCACCAGAAACCACUAUUUUUUUGCAUGUUAUACUUCAGUAAAUGAAAAAAUUCAUGGACAACUGCCAAAAGCCUGGAGGAACACAGAUUUGAAUCCUGCAAACACUUAGACCCUUCACCCUGUGUGGAACAGCGACAACUGCAUAACAAUUCAUCAUCGUCUGUUUCUCUCUGGAGUAAUUGCUUAUCUCUGAUUUCCACUGAGAAAGCAAGCAAGCAGUACAGAUGGCCCAGGGCCAGGCCCAGGAGCGGGGCUGAGGUAUAGAUGGCCCCAUGGGCAUCCACUGAAGAUUUAUAUACCUAUGGUUCUCCUUCAUCACAGACAGACAGCUAUUAUCUGUUGUUGACAAGUACUUGAUUCAACAGUCUCCUGCAAGGCAAAUUCUGUACCAGGAGCAAAAGAAUAAUCCUCCAGACAUGCUGCUUCACAGGAUUAUUUGUGGUGUUUGCAACCAAGAAAAGAGGACAUACCAACCUAUAUCCUGGAAAGUUCUACCUUCUGAUAUACACAUA